rnacentral:sRNA from 2 species
GUGCGUUAGGGAUUGAACGGUUUGUUUGAAAUCCUUUUUGUUUUUUCUUUCAAAAACAAAAAGAUUGAGUAGUGAAAGCCCGACUCUAA